rnacentral:lncRNA from 1 species
CUAAACAUUAUACUGAUAGUAGUUGUUCUUCUUAUACAUUGUAUAUGAUAAUCAAUAAUUGCCAUCUUUAUUUUUCAGUCCCCCUAAGCCAAAGACACGUUGUGGUGUAAAAGGAUGUUCAAAUCUAAAGAAAUAUUCUUGUUCUAAGACUGGUGUACCCCUAUGUAGUUUACAGUGUUAUAAAACAAACAUUUCUGUGUGUAAUAGACCAAUCAAAAUAGAAGUUGUAUGAUCAAUGUUAGCUUGGAGAAGGCAGCUUUAGUGAUUCCAAGUUAAUAGAUAUGUUGAAUGAAGGAGAAAGCAAAUUGUCAUAAAAUGCUGUGUGCUCAUGUUAUUUUACGAGUUGCUGAAGCAGUUGAAAUUGUUUUCCCCUCUGACUUUAUCUGGUAAGGAAGGAACAAUUGAAGGAUAUGUUAGUGUUGGUUGUUGCAGGACUUGUUUUUGUUAAGAAUCGUGUAAACGUGGUACAAGAUAUUUGUUAAUGAUCAUGUUCUAGUGCUGAAUACGGACAAAAAUCAAUAAAAUCAAUAUUAUUAUCAAUACCACACUAAACAGAGAGAAAGUGUUGUUUUAAUAAAAUAUUCAAUCAUGUAAAGUAAAUUGAAUGGUAGUAUUCCAUUUCAAUUUUGAAUUUGUACUUGGUCAAAACCACAAAGAAUGAGCUUAAAAUUUUGUGUGGCCCAUGAAAUGGCAAAAUUGGUCAAACUUGUCAAUCUUUCCAAAAUCUUGUUAGUUGUAUUGAUUAAUAGAAGUAUGAGGUUUUGCUCACAACCAAUAGUUAUACCCCUGUUGAAUAAAGUUUAGAACAAACAUGAUGUAGAUCAUAGGAACAAAAAUUCUGUCACAAAGUACAUCAUAACAAGAUGAAGCUUGGUUCCUCAAAAUCAUGUAACGAAAUGUUACCAGCUGAAGUUAUUUUAAGAAAACAUCCACACAUAAGUGUAAUGGCAAGAUGAACAGAUGGUCCAACAGACAGAGUAUGGACAGAGGUAAAUAGUCCCACCCCUCUUUUUGUGUUGGAUGUUGGUAAUUAGAUGGUAGUACGGUCAAUAUAUUUUGUAUCUACUGUAUGAGAUUAACAUGUAGAAUUUGACAUAUUACACAGUGUUUGUAAUCUUAAAUAUUUCAAAAAAAUCUGUAGUAAUUAUAAUGUAAUACAUAAACAGCAUUUAUUCAUCUUGCAUUAAAGUAUAAUGUUCAUGCUUCACAAAUGUAAAUAUCUCAUUGAAUCUCUUGGCACCCUUUGUAAAUGUCUUAACUUUUACCAACAGUUGUCUCACCUUGACAGAGUCAGAAAGCAAGACAUAGAUAUGCUGUUUCUGUUGGUGGCAUUAGCAUCAUCAACAAUGUUUUAGUUACUGAUUAGGUCUAGUUUAUUGUGAAC